AAGGAAGGCAAAAUGGAGGAAAAGUGUCUGAAUUCUCUACAAUACAACACAACUCAGUAGGCAUAUCAGGUUGGGUUGUGACCAAGGAAAUAUUUCUCUCUCCAGCCACAAGCGGUAACACAACUGAAGCUGCUGAGUGUCGCAAGCACUGCUGGAGCUAAUUUUAAGACUUAAAUGCAAGUCAGUGAUCUUUGACAUUCCGACUUAAGGUUUGCAGUGCAUUUGAGAUGCAAAAGAGCAUAAAAAAACAGCGGCUGUCUGUCCCUGUCCCCUGAGUUGAGGCCACCCUGAGGCCAGUGACAAUGGCAUGGCAAGGAUCAAUACCACAUACACACAUAAACACACACUCUGCCACCCUGAGUGAGGGAUCGAUGAAGGGAUAGAGAGAGUCUAGGGAAAAGGAGACUUCCUCUGGUUUUUAUCUCUCCCGUCUCUCAUCAGCACCUUAAACUCUUCAUGACAUUCUAGCUAAAGGAUAGCCACACAUUUUGGUGUUUAAUUGUUGUUCAAUAUGAACAAUUUUUACAUUAGAGAUUAGAUUAGAGAUUUGAGCAAAUUAAAUUAACAUGUCAUUGACUUUGAAGCACACUGAACCUCAAUGAAUUUACACUUUUCUGAACAUCUUGUCUCUAAACUCUUAUGUAGAGAAAAUUCAUUUGAGAAUAGAUCAAAUUAGUAAUUUAAUUCAGUGAUAAAAUCAGACUUUUUAGGUUGAAUAGUCUGUACAAUAUCAUUUAGCAUUUAUAGAAUACAUACACAUGUCGUUCAAGGCCUGAUUAAUAUA